ACUCCUACGGGAGGCAGCAGUGGGGAAUAUUGCACAAUGGGGGAAACCCUGAUGCAGCCAUGCCGCGUGUGUGAAGAAGGCCUUCGGUUGUAAAGCACUUUCAGUAGGGAGGAAGGUAGUGUAGUUAACACCUGCACUAUUUGACGUUACCUACAGAAGAAGCACCGGCUAACUCCGUGCCAGCAGCCGCGGUAAUACGGAGGGGUGCGAGCGUUAAUCGGAAUUACUGGGCGUAAAGCGCAUGCAGGCGGCCUGUUAAGUCAGAUGUGAAAGCCCGGGGGCUUAACCUCGGAAUUGCAUUUGAAACUGGCAGGCUAGAGUCUUGUAGAGGGGGUAGAAUUUCAGGUGUAGCGGUGAAAUGCGUAGAGAUCUGAAGGAAUACCAGUGGCGAAGGCGGCCCCCUGGACAAAGACUGACGCUCAGAUGCGAAAGCGUGGGAGCAAACAGGAUUAGAUACCCUGGUAGCACAGAG
rnacentral:rRNA from 1 species